GACGAACGCUGGCGGCGUGCUUAACACAUGCCAGUCGAACGGAAAGGCCCUGCUUUUGUGGGGUGCUCGAGUGGCGAACGGGUGAGUAACACGUGAGUAACCUGCCCUUGACUUUGGGAUAACUUCAGGAAACUGGGGCUAAUACCGGAUAGGAGCUCCUGCUGCAUGGUGGGGGUUGGAAAGUUUCGGCGGUUGGGGAUGGACUCGCGGCUUAUCAGCUUGUUGGUGGGGUAGUGGCUUACCAAGGCUUUGACGGGUAGCCGGCCUGAGAGGGUGACCGGCCACAUUGGGACUGAGAUACGGCCCAGACUCGUACGGGAGGCAGCAGUGGGGAAUAUUGCACAAUGGGCGGAAGCCUGAUGCAGCAACGCCGCGUGCGGGAUGACGGCCUUCGGGUUGUAAACCGCUUUCGCCUGUGACGAAGCGUGAGUGACGGUAAUGGGUAAAGAAGCACCGGCUAACUACGUG
rnacentral:rRNA from 1 species